GCCUGGGUGGCUUAGUUGGGUUAAGCAUCUGACUUCAGCUCGGGUCAUGAUCUCACGGUUUGUGGGUUCAAGCCCCACGUCGGGCU
rnacentral:tRNA from 1 species